CAGGAUUCCUGAGUCCCCACAAAGAGCAAAGCAGCAGCAGGUGUGAGCCCUGUAGCUGCCUCUGCAGGUCCUCACCACGUGGUUGCUAAGGCUGAGAGAGACACAGAUUCUACCCUUGUGUCUCUUUAUAUGAUACACACACUUGAAAAUAGCUAACUAAACGAACAUAAAAAGAAAUGUUUGAUGAAGAGUUUACUCCCUGUCUGCCAGCACCCUCAGCCUGGGAGCUAGUGCCCGAGGCUGGUGUCAUGGGGCAGCUUGCUAAGCGAACCCCCAAGAGCAGAGCGCUCCCACGCAACCCAUCACAAUGCGUCUUUCCUGCCACCUCUGCCGUCUGUCCGAUGAUGGAACGGGUUCUGGCAGGAAGUCAGGGGAUCCCUGUCCCGGAAGGUGGCCACUUGGCCUGGACAGCAGACAGGAGCUGUAAGCAUCAGUCGGUCUGGUCCUGACCCUGAAGGUCUCUUUCAGUCCUGGGUGCCCUCUCUGGCACUAGGGCCUGUUUUAAUUGACCACAGGGCCUGCCCCUUGAUAGCCCUGGAUUAUAAAGGACAGGAGCAGAAGACUGGAUGGCUGUGUCCCCAAGGCGGUCCCCUCACUCCCAUCCCCAAAGGCUGAAAGCAAAGGCAGGUCUCAGAGGGACAGAUCCUGAGGCCGGGAGUGCUCAGGGGAGGGUGGGGAUGAGGGGGUGAGCAGAAGCCUGUGAAGCCAAGUGGGUCUCGUCAAUCUGUACAAACUGAAAGAAGGCGCAUCCUCUGAAAUCCGAGUUGAUGGGUUUGCUCAUGAAAAUUCCUGGGACAUGGUCCAACCAGACGGGAUGGAGAGGGCCCAGGGUUUCCUGAUUGCAGCCACAUGGCCUCCCACUGCUGGCGGUUUUAGGAAUAAAGCAAGUUGCUCUUUACCUCAAAAGGACAAGCAGAGUGGGCAACUUCAGAUAUCUUAAGAGCUUCAAGAUCCUUUGUUCUCCUGUCCUUUGUCAUUCCACAACCGUGCGUGGGGGACAAAUUAGUUAGAUGUUUUCAAGAACAGUGCCAUCCUCACGGGCCCAGCUCGUAUUAUAGACCAGGCCAAGUUUGCCUGGCUCUCCUGCAAACUCUGUCAUUUGCCAAGACCUCAGCCAUGUGUCAUAUUUCAUGGCCACGUGAUACAGGACACCCCCUGCAUGGCCGUGUGUGGACAUAAGUGUCCGCACGUGUGUAUGUGCAGCAUGCAGCACCUUCUGUUCAGCCACGUAGCUCCCAGGCCCUUGCCAUCAGUGUCCCAGAUGUCCUUGCUGUGGCAACAAUCUGCCGUCUCCUGGAAACGCAGGGGCUACCCUUCAGAGAGCUGGCGGCCACUGCCAAUCAGGGUCUGCUUUGCAGAACAGAAUGUGAACCCAUCACUUGAUGGCUUACUUGACUUAUUUAAUUAAAAAUGAAAACAUGC
rnacentral:lncRNA from 1 species